CGCCAGACUCCUACGGGAGGCAGCAGUGGGGAAUAUUGCACAAUGGGGGAAACCCUGAUGCAGCAACGCCGCGUGAGUGAAGAAGUCAUUCGUGAUGUAAAGCUCUAUCAGCAGGGAAGAAAAUGACGGUACCUGAGUAAGAAGCCCCGGCUAACUACGUGCCAGCAGCCGCGGUAAUACGUAGGGGGCGAGCGUUAUCCGGAUUCACUGGGUGUAAAGGGAGCGUAGACGGCCAAGCAAGCCAGGGGUGAAAGCCCGGGGCCCAACCCCGGGACUGCCCUUGGAACUGCAUGGCUGGAGUGCGGGAGGGGCAGGCGGAAUUCCUGGUGUAGCGGUGAAAUGCGUAGAUAUCAGGAGGAACACCGGCGGCGAAGGCGGCCUGCUGGACUGCGACUGACGUUGAGGCCCGAAAGCGUGGGGAGCAAACAGGAUUAGAUACCCCGGUAU
rnacentral:rRNA from 1 species